rnacentral:lncRNA from 1 species
CUGGGGGGCAUCCCCCUCCUCCUGCUCCGUGCUCUCACUGGCUGCCCGCUGCCGCUGGAAGUGGUGCCGCUUGGGGGAACCUGCGCACGGGAUGUGCCGAGUGGGCCCUGGCUUGGGCCAGACCCUGGCUGGCAUCUCCCCGGGUCAGGUGGGUGCGGACAGUGGCUGUGUGUACACCCUGGAGUACAGGUGAGAAAACUGAGGCACGGAGGGAAGAGGUGCUGGGACCAGAGAGCCUGAGCAGGGCAGGGCCAGGAAGCGAGUGAGUGGAAGGGCCUCUGGCACCGAUAGUGCCUUGUGGCAGCCCUGGUCAACAUGUGGCCACUCAUAAGGGCGUGUCCUGGACACCUGGUGGCCUGCACAGCCUGGCUGAAACUACGGAAGGCAUGAGAGAGUCACAUACAGGCUGGUGGGGGCCAACGAGGAGAGGGAGAGAGGUGCCCUCUCCUGCCAGCUCCACCCUGGUCUGGAGAGCGCUGGGGGACUGCCCCACCCCUGCCUCGGCCCCCUUCUCCCAACAGCCUCCCCAGCAAAGCUUGAGUGGGCAGGCCCCAGCAAACAGGUUCUGGGAUGUGCUGCAACCACAUUGGACUCUAAAUGUCUCUAGUCACCCCUGGGCCCCAUUCAUUUCAAGAUCUGGAUUCUCUCAGCUGGAGCGGGGCAGCCAGAGGAGGCCUUCCCCUCCCUGGCCCCUAGCUACCUUGGGGGUGGGGGCUGGGAGAACUCACCCCACCCCCGCUGGCUGGAGCCACAACACAGGGUCUCCCACUGUCUGAUGAUGUGUCCUCUGUCAUGCUGACAGCACCUUCUCUCUGCACUUGUCCCCUAUCCUGGCCUCACCUGACGACAGGACCUGCCACCCUGUCCACAAGGCAGAGCGGGCCCCAGCCCCUCUGGGCUGCCCUGGCCCUGCUGAGCUGGCUGAGCAGGGCUGGUGCCUGCUGCCAGUGCUACAGAUGGGACACCUCUGCUCCCCACACAAACUCCUGCCUCGAGCCCAGAUAAGGCAGCCCUGUCUCCAGGAUCCUGCCUGACCCAAGGCCUGCAGAAUUGAAGGGCUACUGUCAAACAGUCCAGGGAUCUAUGUGCUACAGCCCAGAGGGCAAAAGCACCCCCUGCCCCGGAGCUUCGGUAAGUUUUACUGGCACACAGCCACGUGCAUUCGUCAUGCAGCGCCUCUGACUGCUUCCUCGCCUCAACAGCAGCAGAGUUGUGGAGACACAGCCUCUCUGACCAUAACCCCACGAACACCACCAUCCGGGGCCUGAUGGGAAAAGUCUGCUGACCCCUGGCCCAGUCCAACACUUACUUCGUGUUAGAGGAAGUCAGAGCCCAGACAGGCAGAGGGCCUCGGCCAAGGUCACACAGCAGCUGAUGGUCUGCCAGCGGGCGAGGGAGGGGCCCCGGGGGAACCCGCCUUCCACUCACAUUCCCAGGGAUGAGAGCCGAGCAUGGCUGGGAGGGGAUGCAGGCCACAGGCCCCACCCUCUGCGCUCCACAGUGACCAGGUGGCCCCCGACACCCUCCUUUACCACCUCAUCCUGGAUGCCCCAAUGGCCCGAGAGCAGUCGGGGCGCGCAAAGCCUUCCCGCACAGGUUCCCGGAGCUGGGUGGGUCUGGCUCAGGCCGCCCGCACACUCAGCCCUCCCAGCCACCUGCAGAACCUCAGGCAGCACGCCCGCUGGCAGACUGGGCAGGACUCAGCCCCAGAGCACCGGCUCCCCACCCAGCCCACAACCUCCUGCUCCUGGAUGUCCAGGGCAGCCCCUGGCAGCCAGCACCCAGCCCACAGGGGCCCACUCUCCA